UAUUUCAUGUUUUCUUUGUUCUUGAAGGAAGUCAGAGCUUUGGGAAAAUCCAGUUAAAACCAGGUCUAUUUUAAGAGAUGAGUAAUGGGGGUGGAGUAUCCCUGGUACACACCAAGUCAUGCAGCCUCUCAGAGGAUGCACUGGCUUUACUUGAAAGUCUGCCAGGAUUAUUUCGUAGAACAGAUGGGAAGUUUUUGAGUGAGUAUGUUUUUCGAGAACAAUCACAUGCUCUGACUGUGUUACAUGGCCUCAAUGAACAGAGGAAAUCAAACACACUUUGUGAUGUCAUAAUUUGUGUGGAAGGCGAACAAUUUCCAUGCCACAGGAAUAUACUGGCUGCCUGCAGUCCCUAUUUUUUGGCAAUGUUUACAGGAGAAAUGAAAGAGAGUAGAGAGAAAGAGAUAAAAAUAGAUGGAAUGUCUCCGGACAUCAUGAAACAGCUGGUGGACUUUGCCUACACAGCAGACAUAUCCAUAACACAGGAAAACGCCCAGCAGCUUUUAUCUGCUGCUAACCUGGUUCAAAUCCACACCAUCAUACAGGCUUGCUGUAACUUCCUAGAGGGAGAAAUGGACCCCAGUAACUGCCUUGGGAUCCACUGCUUUGCAGAGGCACAUGUCUGUGACGAACUUAGCGAGAAAGCAAGACAGUACGUCAUUCAGCACUUCACCCAAGUUGCCAAACAAGAGGAGAUCUUGCUGCUCCCAAAAGAAAAACUGAUUGAAUUCAUCAGUCAGAAUGACUUGAAUGUUGGUACUGAGGAGGUGGUGUUUGAUGCCAUACUCAGAUGGGUGAAGCAUGACCCCAAACACAGGAUUCCUCAGUUGGCAGACGUGCUACAGUACGUCCGUCUGCCACUUGUCAGUCCAUACUAUCUGUUUGACAAGGUGGACUCAGAACAUCUUCUGAUGACGGCACCAGGCUGCAGACCUUUUCUGGAUGAAGCCAUGAAAUAUCACAUCCUUAAGGACAGGAGAAUGGAGAUGCUGUCCCCGAGGAUGAUACCCAGACAGUGCAUGGCUGUGGAGACAGUGGUGUACAUCACAGGGGGUGAAAUCUACAAUAAGAACUAUUUGAACUGUGUGGAAGGUUACAAUCUGGAAGGGGGAACUUGGGUCAAACUGAAAGACUUGCCUUUCUCCCGAUGUCAUCACUGUGCUGUUGUCUCGGAAGACAUGCACAUGUACAUUGCUGGUUAGUUCAGGGGUUCAAUAUCAUAGAUAUUGGAAUCAAGAUUGAAUUAUGUAACAAAAAGCAGGCUAGACUGUAGUAACAAAACUUUUACGAUAAGGAAUUUAUUUUCUAUUGUUGAUUACAACUGUGUUAGAGCUUUUGAGAUUUAGAUCAAAAAGCAUUUUCAAUCGAGGAUUAAGCAGGGUUUAUUGUAAAUUAUUUGCAGGAGGAUAUAACAAAGAAAAUGUAGUGGUGAACAAUGUCAUGAGGUAUGAGAGAUACCUAGACAAGUGGAUCAAGGUAGCCUCGAUGAACACACCCAGAGCCAAGCUUGGGAUGGCUACUCUGGAUGGCUACAUAUAUGCCAUUGGAGGAUACGAUGGAACCUCCAAACUGUGCUCUGUAGAGAGGUAUUGUCCACAGACAAACAGAUGGACCUAUGUGUCUCCCUUGUCACAGUCCGUGGCCAAAAUUGUUGCAACUUCUCUGAAUGGAUAUCUGUAUGCUGCUGGUAUGCUUGUUGGGUUUUUUUUCAUGCAAAACUGAUCUUUGUUAUAACAGAUUUUGGAAUUACUUAUUUCUUGAAUCCCAUUAUUUGAUUAAGCAUGGUGUCAAUCUGUCUGUUCAUCUAACAAAAGGAGGUUUAAAUAGAUUCUUCUGAGGAGCCACAUGUAGAAUGCUCUAAUUUUUAAGAGGAAUUUUACUUAUUUUUGCAUGGUAUUUUUAUUUUUUAUUGAUUUGAUCAGUCUUAGGAAAUAUUUAGAACUUACUCAUAUAUUUAUAGUUUGUACACAUAUAGUUAGUUGGCUAUGUGAGUCAAAGAUCAGAGUUUGAAAUUGUUGCUCAGCUGAGCAAUGUGACCCAUUAACCUCUUGUUAGAUUCAUGUUUUAAAAAAAAUUAUAAAAGAGUUUAAAAUCUCUUUUUCUGUUGACAAUUAAUGGUAUUCUGCUUUUGAAGGUGGAGUAGCUGAUCCCUCUGGUCACUGUGUGAAUACUUUCCAAAGAUACAGCCCAAUCAAUGAUAUGUGGGAGCAGCUGUCCCCAAUGCCAGCUGCAAAAGCACUGAGUGGUUUGGUACCAGUGAAGGGGACACUGUAUGCAGUGGGAGGAAUACUGCAGAACUCCUACGCCACCAGAGAACUGAUGUCCUACAAUAUCGAAAGAGACACAUGGACCAUGCUGCCUCAAAUGAAAGAAGUCAGAUACGAUCCCGGUGUUACAACCAUUGGUAACAAGAUUUAUGUGUUGAGUGGACAUAAUGGAGAGAACUCCUUCUUCUCCAGUAUUGAGGUGUAUGACACAGAGACUACCAGGUGGUCAGAGCUUCCUAUCCUGACUCUUCCGUAUGGGAGGUGCAGAUUUACUUGUGUUGCUAUGGACACCAAACAAGCGUGACCCAGAAUUGGUUUGAUUGUACAUAUGUACAUGCAAAUACAUUGAACUUUUUGUAAAAUUCUGUACUGUGUCAAUCUGUUGUUAAUUGGCAUAUUUUACAAGCUUCUUUUUUGUAUAAAAAUGCUAAGAUGAGCAUAAUUUGUAAAUACAUUUCGUAAAUAGCACAGUGUGAUAGUGAAAUAUUUGACUUGGUGAUACAUGUAUUAUAUUGAGCCUGUGAUAAGAGAAUGUACUUUGCAAUAUCCUCCUUUGAUAUUAGGUGCUCUUCCAGAUCAUAAGAUGUAGUAAUUUUGUAUAUACUUGUAUGUGUAUAGACUUUUAAUGUUGUAAAUUAAGAUGCACAUAGUUCCAAGAAUUCACUUUAUCUCAUAUCUAUUUCAUUCCAUCUUUCCCAUUGCAUAUAUUGGGAAUUUGUAUCAUGUCAGUACAUAUAUAAUCAAUAUGUAAUUGCGCAUAAAUUUUCAUAAUUUUAAAAUGCUUUUUUUUUAGUUUUUAGAGUUCCUUCUACACAAUAAAAUGGUUUGGUUUUAUUCAGAUCUGAAAUUUUGAAGAAAA
rnacentral:misc_RNA from 1 species